rnacentral:tRNA from 1 species
AGCCGAGAUAGCUCAGUCGGUAGAG